rnacentral:ribozyme from 12 species
UCCUUUUCUUUUUUUUUUUCUCUCCUCUCCUCUCUCCCCUAUUUCACCUCUCUCGUUCAACUCCACACAACAAACAAAAAAAGGUUGCGUUACCCUCUCGGUAAAACGCACCAACAAAAAAAAAAAAAACCAAAAAAAACGGUUGUUAAUUUG